rnacentral:rRNA from 1 species
GUUGAACGCUGGCGGCAUGCCUUACACAUGCAAGUCGAACGGUAACAGGUUAAGCUGACGAGUGGCGAACGGGUGAGUAAUGUAUCGGAACGUGCCCAGUCGUGGGGGAUAACUGCUCGAAAGAGCAGCUAAUACCGCAUACGACCUAAGGGUGAAAGCGGGGGAUCGCAAGACCUCGCGCGAUUGGAGCGGCCGAUAUCAGAUUAGGUAGUUGGUGAGGUAAAGGCUCACCAAGCCGACGAUCUGUAGCUGGUCUGAGAGGACGACCAGCCACACUGGGACUGAGACACGGCCCAGACUCCUACGGGAGGCAGCAGUGGGGAAUUUUGGACAAUGGGCGCAAGCCUGAUCCAGCCAUGCCGCGUGCGGGAAGAAGGCCUUCGGGUUGUAAACCGCUUUUGUCAGGGAAGAAAAGGUUCUGGCUAAUACCUGGGACUCAUGACGGUACCUGAAGAAUAAGCACCGGCUAACUACGUGCCAGCCGCCGCCGUAAGAC